UGGGCGAUUAGCUCAGCGGUAGAGCACCUGCCUUACAAGCAGGCUGUCACUGGUUCGAUUCCGGUAUCGCCCAUC
rnacentral:tRNA from 1 species